rnacentral:tRNA from 1 species
GUGGAUGUAGCUCCUUCAGUAGAGUGCUGGCUUAGUGUGCCUGGAGCCCUGGGUUCGAUCCCCAGCACCACA